CAUGGUUGUCGUCAGCUCGUGUCGUGAGAUGUUGGUUAAGUCCCGCAACGAGCGCAACCCCUAUUGUUAGUUGCCAUCAUUCAGUUUGGGCACUCUAGCGAGACUGCCGGUAAUAAACCGGAGGAAGGUGGGGAUGACGUCAAAUCAUCAUGCCCCUUAUGACCUGGGCUACACACGUGCUACAAUGGUUGGUACAACGAGUUGCGAGUCGGUGACGGCGAGCUAAUCUCUUAAAGCCAAUCUCAGUUCGGAUUGUAGGCUGCAACUCGCCUACAUGAAGUCGGAAUCGCUAGUAAUCGCGGAUCAGCACGCCGCGGUGAAUACGUUCCCGGGCCUU
rnacentral:rRNA from 1 species